rnacentral:rRNA from 1 species
CGAGCGGAUGAAGGGAGCUUGCUCCUGGAUUCAGCGGCGGACGGGUGAGUAAUGCCUAGGAAUCUGCCUGGUAGUGGGGGAUAACGUCCGGAAACGGGCGCUAAUACCGCAUACGUCCUGAGGGAGAAAGUGGGGGAUCUUCGGACCUCACGCUAUCAGAUGAGCCUAGGUCGGAUUAGCUAGUUGGUGGGGUAAAGGCCUACCAAGGCGACGAUCCGUAACUGGUCUGAGAGGAUGAUCAGUCACACUGGAACUGAGACACGGUCCAGACUCCUACGGGAGGCAGCAGUGGGGAAUAUUGGACAAUGGGCGAAAGCCUGAUCCAGCCAUGCCGCGUGUGUGAAGAAGGUCUUCGGAUUGUAAAGCACUUUAAGUUGGGAGGAAGGGCAGUAAGUUAAUACCUUGCUGUUUUGACGUUACCAACAGAAUAAGCACCGGCUAACUUCGUGCCAGCAGCCGCGNUAAUACGAAGGGUGCAAGCGUUAAUCGGAAUUACUGGGCGUAAAGCGCGCGUAGGUGGUUCAGCAAGUUGGAUGUGAAAUCCCCGGGCUCAACCUGGGAACUGCAUCCAAAACUACUG